AUUCCAGCUCCAAUAGCGUAUAUUAAUGUUGUUGCAGUUAAAAAGCUCGUAGUUGGAUUUCUGGUCGGAACGCCGGUCCGGCUCCGCAAGGGGUCGUGUAUUGGUUUCUCCUGCCAUCCUCAGGGGGAGCUGCGCUGGUAUUCAUUUAUCGGCGUGGUUACGCCUGUCGUUUACUGUGAACAAAUUAGAGUGUUCAAAGCAAGGUGUACUUGAAUACAUUAGCAUGGAAUAAUAAGAUAGGACUUUGGUGGUUCUUUUUGAUAUUUUGUUGGUUUGCACGCCAAAGUAAUGAUUAAUAGGAGCAGUUGGGGGUAUUCGUAUUCAAUCGUCAGAGGUGAAAUUCUUGGAUUUAUAGAAGACGAACUACUGCGAAAGCAUUUACCAAGGAUGUUUUCAUUA
rnacentral:rRNA from 1 species